UGGGGAAUAUUGGGCAAUGGGCGCAAGCCUGACCCAGCAACGCCGCGUGAAGGAAGAAGGCUCUCGGGUUGUAAACUUCUUUUAACAGGGACGAAGAAAGUGACGGUACCUGUUGAAUAAGCCACGGCUAACUACGUGCCAGCAGCCGCGGUAAUACGUAGGUGGCAAGCGUUAUCCGGAUUUACUGGGUGUAAAGGGCGUGUAGGCGGGAGAGCAAGUCAGACGUGAAAUUCCAGGGCUCAACCCUGGAACUGCGUUUGAAACUGUUCUUCUUGAGUGAUGGAGAGGCAGGCGGAAUUUCCGUGUGUAGCGGUGAAAUGCGUAGAUAUACGGAGGAACACCAGUGGCGAAGGCGGCCUGCUGGACAUUAACUGACGCUGAGGCGCGAAAGCGUGGGGAGCAAACAGGAUUAGAUACCC
rnacentral:rRNA from 1 species